rnacentral:rRNA from 1 species
GACGAACGCUGGCGGCGUGCUUAACACAUGCAAGUCGAACGGAAAGGCCCUGCUUUUGUGGGGUGCUCGAGUGGCGAACGGGUGAGUAACACGUGAGUAACCUGCCCUUGACUUUGGGAUAACUUCGGGAAACUGGGGCUAAUACCGGAUAGGAGCUUCUGCUGCACGGUGGGGGUUGGAAAGUUUCGGCGGUUGGGGAUGGACUCGCGGCUUAUCAGCUUGUUGGUGGGGUAGUGGCUUACCAAGGCUUUGACGGAUAGCCGGCCUGAGAGGGUGACCGGCCACAUUGGGACUGAGGUACGGCCCAGACUCCAACGGGAGGCAGCAGGGGGGAGUAUUACACAGUGGGCGGAAGCGUGAUGCGACGACGCCGCGUGCGGAAUGACGGCCUUCGGGUUGUAAACCGCUUUCGCCUGAGACGAAGCGUGAGUGACGGUAAUGGGUAAAGAAGCACCGGCUAACUACGUG